GAGUUAGAAAUGUAGUUGGUGAAUUUCACUAUAAAUAUUUGGUUCUCCUUAUCAUACGAGUUGCAGCCACCUGGUGGUGUAUUCUUGCAGCUGCAGUAGGUCAGGUCUUUGCACACGAACUAUGCUUCCUCCAGCCAGAAAGAGUUUACUUCGCUGGAGAUAUGAAUGUACGACAGCAGCUGCAUGAUGUUGUUUGCACUUAAUGUUUCACCAGCAGAAAGAGUUUACUUCGCUGGAGAUAUGAAUGUACGACAGCAGCUGCAUGAUGUUGUGUGCACUUAAUGUUUCACCAGAAUAAAUGCGAGUUGGAGCCAACCUUUGUCGCCUUUCCUUGCCUUCGA